GUGGGGAAUAUUGGACAAUGGGGGGAACCCUGAUCCAGCCAUGCCGCGUGUGUGAAGAAGGCCUUUUGGUUGUAAAGCACUUUAAGCGAGGAGGAGGCUACCGAGAUUAAUACUCUUGGAUAGUGGACGUUACUCGCAGAAUAAGCACCGGCUAACUCUGUGCCAGCAGCCGCGGUAAUACAGAGGGUGCAAGCGUUAAUCGGAUUUACUGGGCGUAAAGCGCGCGUAGGUGGCCAAUUAAGUCAAAUGUGAAAUCCCCGAGCUUAACUUAGGAAUUGCAUUCGAUACUGGUCAGCUAGAGUAUGGGAGAGGAUGGUAGAAUUCCAGGUGUAGCGGUGAAAUGCGUAGAGAUCUGGAGGAAUACCGAUGGCGAAGGCAGCCAUCUGGCCUAAUACUGACGCUGAGGUACGAAAGCAUGGGGAGCAAACAGGAUUAGAAACCCUGGUAGUC
rnacentral:rRNA from 1 species